UGAAGAACAUUUAUGAAUCUCUUGAUGAAGUUACUAUAAAAGACACUUUGGAAGGUGAUAACAUGUAUACUUGUUCUCAUUGUGGGAAGAAAGUACGAGCUGAAAAAAGGGCAUGUUUUAAGAAAUUGCCUCGCAUUUUGAGUUUCAAUACUAUGAGAUACACAUUUAAUAUGGUCACGAUGAUGAAAGAGAAAGUGAAUACACACUUUUCCUUCCCAUUACGUUUGGACAUGACGCCCUAUACAGAAGAUUUUCUUAUGGGAAAGAGUGAGAGGAAAGAAGGUUUUAAAGAAGUCAGUGAUCAUUCAAAAGACUCAGAGAGCUAUGAAUAUGACUUGAUAGGAGUGACUGUUCACACAGGAACGGCAGAUGGUGGACACUAUUAUAGCUUUAUCAGAGAUAUAGUAAAUCCCCAUGCUUAUAAAAACAAUAAAUGGUAUCUUUUUAAUGAUGCUGAGGUAAAACCUUUUGAUUCUGCUCAACUUGCAUCUGAAUGUUUUGGUGGAGAGAUGACGACCAAGACCUAUGAUUCUGUUACAGAUAAAUUUAUGGACUUCUCUUUUGAAAAGACACACAGUGCAUAUAUGCUGUUUUACAAACGCAUGGAACCAGAGGAAGAAAAUGGCAGAGAAUACAAAUUUGAUGUUUCGUCAGAGUUACUAGAGUGGAUUUGGCAUGAUAACAUGCAGUUUCUUCAAGACAAAAACAUUUUUGAACAUACAUAUUUUGGGUAAGUUUGGUAAAUUUCAUAGUAGAUAUUUUACACAUUUUAAAAAAAUCUUACGUGUGAAUUUUAAAUGAUUAUUUUUAAAUUCUAGAUUUAUGUGGCAAUUGUGUAGUUGUAUUCCCAGUACAUUACCAGAUCCUAAAGCUGUGUCCUUAAUGACAGCAAAGGUAAUAAAUAUAUGAACUUUAAAUAAUUCUGUCAAAAUUUACUACUUUAAAAUGAUUGAAGCUUUUUUGCUUUAUCUUUUCUUACAGUUAAGCACUUCCUUUGUCCUAGAGACAUUUAUUCAUUCUAAAGAAAAGCCCACGAUGCUUCAGUGGAUUGAACUGUUGACGAAACAGUUUAAUAAUAGUCAGGCAGCUUGUGAGUGGUUUUUAGAUCGUAUGGCUGAUGACGACUGGUGGCCAAUGCAGAUACUAAUUAAGUGCCCUAAUCAAAUUGUGAGACAGAUGUUUCAGCGUUUGUGUAUCCAUGUGAUUCAGAGGCUGAGACCUGUGCAUGCUCAUCUCUAUUUGCAGCCAGGAAUGGAAGAUGGGUCAGAUGAUAUGGAUACCUCAGUAGAAGAUAUUGGUGGUCGUUCAUGUGUCACUCGCUUUGUGAGAACCCUGUUAUUAAUUAUGGAACAUGGUGUAAAACCUCACAGUAAACAUCUUACAGAGUAUUUUGCCUUCCUUUACGAAUUUGCAAAAAUGGGUGAAGAAGAGAGCCAAUUUUUGCUUUCAUUGCAAGCUAUAUCUACAAUGGUACAUUUUUACAUGGGAACAAAAGGACCUGAAAAUCCUCAAGUUGAAGUGUUAUCAGAGGAAGAAGGGGAAGAAGAAGAGGAGGAAGAAGAUAUCCUCUCUCUGGCAGAAGAAAAAUACAGGCCAGCUGCCCUUGAAAAGAUGAUAGCUUUAGUUGCUCUUUUGGUUGAACAGUCUCGAUCAGAAAGGCAUUUGACAUUAUCACAGACUGACAUGGCAGCAUUAACAGGAGGAAAGGGAUUUCCCUUCUUGUUUCAACAUAUUCGUGAUGGCAUCAAUAUAAGACAAACUUGUAAUCUGAUUUUCAGCCUGUGUCGAUACAAUAAUCGACUUGCAGAACAUAUUGUAUCUAUGCUUUUCACAUCAAUAGCAAAGUUGACUCCUGAGGCAGCCAAUCCUUUCUUUAAGUUGUUGACUAUGCUAAUGGAGUUUGCUGGUGGACCUCCAGGAAUGCCUCCCUUUGCAUCUUAUAUUCUGCAGAGGAUAUGGGAGGUGAUUGAAUACAAUCCUUCUCAGUGUCUAGAUUGGUUGGCAGUGCAGACACCCCGAAAUAAACUGGCACACAGCUGGGUCUUACAGAAUAUGGAAAACUGGGUCGAGCGGUUUCUUUUGGCUCACAAUUAUCCUAGAGUGAGGACUUGCAGUAGAAGAACUGUUUAACCUGAUGCAGCUGUUUAUAGCUCAGAGGCCAGAUAUGAGAGAAGAAGAAUUAGAAGAUAUUAAACAGUUCAAGAAAACAACCAUAAGUUGUUACUUACGUUGCUUAGAUGGCCGCUCCUGCUGGACUACUUUAAUAAGUGCCUUCAGAAUACUAUUAGAAUCUGAUGAAGACAGACUUCUUGUUGUAUUUAAUCGAGGAUUGAUUCUAAUGACAGAGGUAAAUAUUCUAUUGCAUUUUACUGUGGAUAUUAUCUCAUUUUAAUGUUCUCACCAAGACUUACUUUAUAGACAUUUAGAGUUUAUGGUAAACUGUUUUACAGGUGGCAAGGUUUUAAUUAUAUAGAUCAGUAAACCUGAAUUUAUAUCCCAAGAAUAAUUAGGUCAUAAUUUUUAGGGUGCUGUUCCUUUUUCCAUAGUAAUUCCAUACUUUUCCCAUUAUUUUGUAUUUAGAACAGCCAUUUGAAAUAGACUAGUUUUAUUCAUUUGUAGGGACAAAAAUGAAAUACAUGUGAUUUCAUUAAGGGCACACAUAAUUUCCCAAAAGCCUACUUAUUUGACAGUAUAGAAACUGAGGUUACCAUUGUGAACCCGGAAAAUCUGAGACAGGUCUCAGUUAAUUUAGAAAGUUUAUUUUGCCAAGGUUGAGGACGCGCCCGUGACACAGCCUCAGGAAGUCCUGAUGGCACGUGCCCAAGGUGGUUGGGACACAGCUUGAUUUUAUACAUUUUAGGGAGACAUGAGACAUCAAUCUGUAUGUAGGAAGUACAUUAGCUCUGUCCAGAAAGGCAGAGACAACCCAAAGCAAGGCCUCUCCUUCCUCUGGGGCCUUCCUGGUCACAGGUAUGUGAGAGACAGAUGGUUGCGUUCUUUUGAGUUUCUGAUAAGUCUUUCCAAAGGAGGCAAUCAGAAUAUGCAUCUAUCUGGGUGAGCAGAGGGAUGACUUUGAAUAGUAUGAGAGGCCGAUUUGCCCUGAGCGGUUCCCAGCUUGAAGGGGCCCAAGAUAUUUUCCUUUCACACCAUCCUCAGAGGAAACCAGAAGGACUAUUACAGGGUUAAAAUCAGCUGUUUAUGCUUCCUAUAAUUCUUGAACAUCCACAAGUAUGAGAUGGCUGCAGAGUCACCAGAGGUACGUGAGCCCUUUAGUCUGAUAAACAUGCCAAGAGUACCAUAAGAAUUCACAGGUAGGAUGUUUUUUCAGUUAAUGAUAAUAAAAAAUAAGAGAACAGGUUUGCACUUUGAAGAAUGUGGAUUUGCAAAGGUAAGGGGGAAAACAUUUAGAUAAAUGACAAUAAGCACUGAGGCAAAGAAAUAUUGGUUAUGUUUGAGGAAGGCUAAGUAUUAAAAAAAAGGUAGGUGAAGAGGAGUAGUAAGAAUUUCAUUCUUUAAAAUGCAACAGAUGUUUAUGCUGCUUUGGUUGUAUUUUUAGAAAAAAAAAAUUUUUUUUUAAUGCAACAGAUGUUUAAAUGUCUACCUCUGUGCCAAGCACUGUGGUAGGUACUAGGGACACAGCAGUGAACAAGACAUACUGGUUUCUGUCCCCACAGCUUACAAGUUACAUACUGUACAAGUACAUUGUUCAUAUUAGGUACUGCUGCAGGUUCUGGGCUAAGAAUUUUAACAUUUGAACUGUGGGUAUUACAGUGUGUAAGCUGUAGUGAACUGGUGGAAGAGGAUUCAAAGAAGGGUGCUGUAUAGUAAAAUAGGAAAAAAACUAAGGGCUUAAUUAAGCUAAUACAGUUAAAGGAAUUAAAAGAUUUAACAAGCCAAUAUAAAGGAAAUGAAUUCCUACCUUUUGCAGCUCUUUUUACCUCUUUCAGGCCUACUCUUUUGAGUAUGGCUGACAGUCACUUUACCAUUGUCUUUGGACAGAGACCCUGGAAAGUUGGUUAAAGCAGUUGCCUAUUCUCCCUAAUCUUUUGUGACCUACUGCUUUGUAAUUUUGAAGACUUAACAAUCUUAGAGCAAGUACUUUUUUAAAAAAAUGUGAUUAAACUAUUUCUUCAGACUAGAAUAUACACACAAAAUAGCAGAGCUCUGAAGGUGAGGAAUGUUUAAAAGAGCUUAAUGAGAGUUUAACUUCAGGAUAGAAAGCAAAUACGUUUGCUUUGCACACAUGUGCACACACAGUCUGAGUCUGAAAACAUCUAUCGUAGAGGACGAGUACUACCAUUUUGUGGCUCAGUAAGCAAAAAUGAAAUUAAGUUUUCAAUUUUUUCAAAUCAUUUGUAGUCUUUCAACACUUUGCACAUGAUGUAUCACGAAGCUACAGCUUGCCAUGUGACUGGAGAUUUAGUAGAACUUCUGUCAAUAUUUCUUUCGGUUUUGAAGUCUACACGCCCUUAUCUUCAGAGAAAAGAUGUGAAACAAGCAUUAAUCCAGUGGCAGGAGCGAAUUGAAUUUGCCCAUAAACUGUUAACUCUUCUUAAUUCCUAUAGUCCUCCAGAACUUAGAAAUGCCUGUAUAGAUGUCCUCAAGGAACUUGUACUUUUGAGUCCCCAUGAUUUUCUUCAUACUCUGGUUCCCUUUCUACAACACAACCAUUGUACUUACCAUCACAGUAAUAUACCAAUGUCUCUUGGACCUUAUUUCCCUUGUCGAGAAAAUAUCAAGCUAAUAGGAGGGAAAAGCAAUAUUCGGCCUCCGCGCCCUGAACUCAAUAUGUGCCUCUUGCCCACAAUGGUGGAAACCAGUAAGGGCAAAGAUGACGUUUAUGAUCGUAUGCUGCUAGACUACUUCUUUUCUUAUCAUCAGUUCAUCCAUCUAUUAUGCCGAGUUGCAAUCAACUGUGAAAAAUUUACUGAAACAUUAGUUAAGCUGAGUGUCCUAGUUGCCUAUGAAGGUUUGCCACUUCAUCUUGCACUGUUCCCCAAACUUUGGACUGAGCUAUGCCAGACUCAGUCUGCUAUGUCAAAAAACUGCAUCAAGCUUUUGUGUGAAGAUCCUGUUUUCGCAGAAUAUAUUAAAUGUAUCCUAAUGGAUGAAAGAACUUUUUUAAACAACAACAUUGUCUACACGUUCAUGACACAUUUCCUUCUAAAGGUUCAAAGUCAAGUGUUUUCUGAAGCAAACUGUGCCAAUUUGAUCAGCACUCUUAUUACAAACUUGAUAAGCCAGUAUCAGAACCUACAGUCUGAUUUCUCCAACCGAGUUGAAAUUUCCAAAGCAAGUGCUUCUUUAAAUGGGGUAAGAACUAUGCAGAGGCGGCGGCACACACUUUUAAACUGUCCUUCAGUUAACUGUGUGGCCUUCAUAUGAUUUUACUCUCGUAACUUUAACUUACUGAUUCAAACUCUUAAGCCAUGUGCGACAAAAAAACAAGUUUUAAAUACACGUUUACUAUGCCUUGUAUGUACACAGCACACUCUAUCACCUUGGAAGCUACAAGCUGGUAUCAUUAAAUGCUGAAAGGUAAUAAAGGGAACAUCUUAGUGGUCUUAUCUCUAGUUGGGUAUAUUUUUGGAAACAAUACUUGUGAUGUUUCUAUUACUGCCUAUGGCUCCUAUGUAACUGAAACAAUUAAUGAUCUACUGAUUUAAAAAAGGCAGUUAAAUCUAGAGCAUUAGUUGCCUUGUGCAGACUCCCAUGACAGCCAUGUCCUAGAAUAAUGGAACACUCUGGAAAUGGGCUAGAAUGUUGAGCAGCAGCCUCCCAAAUCACAGUAUGCAUAAAAGCCAAAACAGAUGACAGAGCUCAGUAAGGAAGACCUUACUAUUUGUGACAUCCAUCAGAAUUUUAACUUGAGAAACUGAUUUCAAGGUUUGUUUUUAAAAUUCUUAUAUUUCCUUUUCCAUUUUUCAGAAAACACUAUUUCAGGCUUUGGUCUGACUUACUGGUUCGUGGGCAUAAAAUAAUGCUAUUAGUGACUUUAAGAACUAAUGAGGCUGGGCACGGUGGCUCAUGCCUGCAAUCCAAGCAUUUUGGGAGGUCGAGGCCGGUGGAUAACGAGGUCAGGAGAUUGAGACCAUCUCAAUGGCCAACAUGGUGAAACCCUGUCUCUACUAAAAUAGAAAAAAUUAAGCCAGGCGUGGUGGCGGGCGCCUGUAGUCCCAGCUACUUGGGAGGCUGAGGGAGGGGAAUCGCUUGAACCCGGGUGGUGGAGGUUGCAGCGAGCCGAGAUUACACCACUGCACUCCAGCCUUGCCAAAGAACAAGACUCCAUCUCAAAAAAAACAAAAAC
rnacentral:lncRNA from 1 species